rnacentral:lncRNA from 1 species
UUUCAAAUGAACAUUGGAAGUGAACAAGAUUUCUGCACAGAGAUUUUCCUUGAUCAAGAGUGCAACCAGCCAAAUUAGCUGCUGUGAUUAUGGACUUUACUGUCAGAGGAAAAUUGGAAGUUAACAAGAUUUUUGCAGAGAUUUUCCUUGGUCAAGAGUGCAACCAGCCACAUU